GUGAAGCCCAGCUUGCUGGGUGGAUCAGUGGCGAACGGGUGAGUAACACGUGAGCAACCUGCCCUCCACUUCGGGAUAAGCCUUGGAAACGGGGUCUAAUACCGGAUAUGAGCUCGCAUCGCAUGGUGUGGGUUGGAAAGUUUUUCGGUGGGGGAUGGGCUCGCGGCCUAUCAGCUUGUUGGUGGGGUGAUGGCCUACCAAGGCGUCGACGGGUAGCCGGCCUGAGAGGGCGACCGGCCACACUGGGACUGAGACACGGCCCAGACUCCUACGGGAGGCAGCAGUGGGGAAUAUUGCGCAAUGGGCGCAAGCCUGAUGCAGCGACGCCGCGUGAGGGAUGACGGCCUUCGGGUUGUAAACCUCUUUCAGCAGGGAAGAAGCGCAAGUGACGGUACCUGCAGAAGAAGCGCCGGCUAACUACGUGCCAGCAGCCGCGGUAAUACGUAGGGCGCAAGCGUUGUCCGGAAUUAUUGGGCGUAAAGAGCUCGUAGGCGGUCUGUCGCGUCUGGUGUGAAAUCCCGAGGCUCAACCUCGGGCUUGCAUCGGGUACGGGCAGACUAGAGUGCGGUAGGGGAGACUGGAAUUCCUGGUGUAGCGGUGGAAUGCGCAGAUAUCAGGAGGAACACCGAUGGCGAAGGCAGGUCUCUGGGCCGCAACUGACGCUGAGGAGCGAAAGCAUGGGGAGCGAACAGGAUUAGAUACCCUGGUAGUCCAUGCCGUAAACGUUGGGCACUAGGUGUGGGGCUCAUUCCACGAGUUCCGUGCCGCAGCUAACGCAUUAAGUGCCCCGCCUGGGGAGUACGGCCGCAAGGCUAAAACUCAAAGGAAUUGACGGGGGCCCGCACAAGCGGCGGAGCAUGCGGAUUAAUUCGAUGCAACGCGAAGAACCUUACCAAGGCUUGACAUGUACGAGAAAGCCCCCGAGACGGGGUUCUCUUUGGACACUCGUACACAGGUGGUGCAUGGUUGUCGUCAGCUCGUGUCGUGAGAUGUUGGGUUAAGUCCCGCAACGAGCGCAACCCUCGUCCUAUGUUGCCAGCGGGUUAUGCCGGGGACUCAUGGGAGACUGCCGGGGUCAACUCGGAGGAAGGUGGGGAUGACGUCAAAUCAUCAUGCCCCUUAUGUCUUGGGCUUCACGCAUGCUACAAUGGCCGGUACAGAGGGCUGCGAUACCGUAAGGUGGAGCGAAUCCCAAAAAGCCGGUCUCAGUUCGGAUUGGGGUCUGCAACUCGACCCCAUGAAGUCGGAGUC
rnacentral:rRNA from 1 species